rnacentral:rRNA from 1 species
UACGUAGGGUGCGAGCGUUAAUCGGAAUUACUGGGCGUAAAGCGUGCGCAGGCGGUUUUGUAAGACAGAUGUGAAAUCCCCGGGCUCAACCUGGGAACUGCAUUUGUGACUGCACAGCUGGAGUGCGGCAGAGGGGGAUGGAAUUCCGCGUGUAGCAGUGAAAUGCGUAGAUAUGCGGAGGAACACCGAUGGCGAAGGCAAUCCCCUGGGCCUGCACUGACGCUCAUGCACGAAAGCGUGGGGAGCAAACAGG